GGCUGGGUAGCUCAGUGGAUUGAGAGCCAAGCCUAGAGGUGGGAGGUCCUAGGUUCGAAUCCGGGCUCAGCCA
rfam:Monodelphis domestica cont3.071372, whole genome shotgun sequence.